GAAAUUCGAUUAGUAAUGUGAAUUGCCGACUUCAGUGAAUCAUCGAAUCUUUGAACGCACCUUGCGCUCCUUGGUAUUCCUUGGAGCAUGCCUGUUUGAGUAUCAUGAAAUCUUCAAAGUAAAUCUUUUGUUAACUCAAUUGGUUUCUACUUUGGUAUUGGAGGUCUUUGCAGCUUCACACCUGCUCCUCUUUGUUCAUUAGCUGGAUCUCAGUGUUAUGCUUGGUUCCACUCGGCGUGAUAAGUUAUCUAUCGCUGAGGACACUGUAAAAGGUGGCCAAGGUAAAUGCAGAUGAACCGCUUCUAAUAGUCCAUUGACUUGGACAAUACUUUUAUGAUCUGAUCUCAAAUCAGGUAGGACUACCCGCUGAACUUAAGC
rnacentral:misc_RNA from 1 species